rnacentral:misc_RNA from 1 species
GGCAGGUGGCUUUUGAGCUGGGUGGUUUCUGGAAUGUUUACCGUAAAGGUGCAUGAGUGGUGUUUGGCUUGUUACGGGUGGUUGGCUCUUUGCUUGCGCAACAACUUCCACCCGACAUGCCUCUUCAGUUUUGUUUUAAUGCUUCUAUAUAGUAUUGAACAUAUUGUGGGUUUCUUGUGUUGCAUUCCUAAAUGAAGGCAUCGUUUGAAAAAUUGCUGCUAUUUUCAUGUUGUGUUGCUUAUGUGAUGCGAGAUGAACUUCGAAGCAACGAUUGUUAUCUGCUCUUUUUGAUGCAAUGCAUUGAUUUUGUGGCUCAACGAUUGUUGCUUGGUCUCAUUUAUAUGGAACCUUUUGUGGGCAUGUGAUCUUUUAGUAGCUCCUUGCGUUUGCCCCUAGUAAAGCUCAUCAAAUACGAUUGUCUACCGCGUCUUAAUGCGGUAGGCUAUAUCGAAUAUGAAUG